CACAGCCUUUACACACUUGGCCAUUGUUUGAGAGGCUCUGCUGAUGGGAUCUGUGGAGGAAGACAAUCAAAGGCAAUGAAAUCCUUCACUGUGAGCUGAGGGGGGACAAGAGGAGCUGCAAGCAAUGACUGAUUUGCAGCCUAAAGAAAACAGGAGGACAUUACUGAACUCUGUAAUUAGUGCAGAUUCAAAACAAAAAACUAUUUAAAAAGGAAGAAGAACACUAACCUUUGAAAGCUCAUGGGCCUGUUUGAAAUAAUUGGCUUCUUCUACAUCAUCAUAUCUCACCAGGUUAGGAGAGACCUCUUCCAGCCUUCUCCUCACCUCAUCCAGUGUGU